rnacentral:rRNA from 1 species
UACGGAGGAUGCGAGCGUUAUCCGGAUUUAUUGGGUUUAAAGGGUGCGUAGGCGGCUUUUAAAGUCAGCGGUGAAAUUUUGCAGCUUAACUGUAACAGUGCCGUUGAUACUGGGGAGCUAGGAUUUGGUUGCUGUGGGUGGAAUGUGUGGUGUAGCGGUGAAAUGCUUAGAGAUCACACAGAAUAUCGAUUGCGAAGGCAGCUCACAAAGCCAAGAUUGACGCUGAGGCACGAAAGUGUGGGGAUCAAACAGGAUUAGA